rnacentral:rRNA from 1 species
AACGCACCUUGCGCCCCUUGGCUAUUCCGAGGGGCAUGCCUGUUUGAGUAUCAUGAACACCUCAACUCUCAUGGUUCGCCGUGAUGAGCUUGGACUUUGGGGGUUUUGCUGGCCUACGGUCAGCUCCUCUCAAACAAAUCAGCCUGCCAGUGUUUGGUGGCAUCACAGGUGUGAUAACUAUCUACGCUUGUGGUUGCCCACCAGGUAACCUUCAGCAAUGGAGGACCGCUGGAGCUUAUAAAUGUCUUUCCUCAGUGAAGACAGCUUUUUGAACGUUCGAUCUCAAAUCAGGUAGGACUACCCGCUGAACUUAA